rnacentral:piRNA from 1 species
CNGGUUUCAAGUUCGUUUGCAGCUU